rfam:Picea glauca, whole genome shotgun sequence.
ACAUGCUUACAACAUAGCGUUGAUUCAAUGGAUCCCAUUAGAAAUCCAUAGUGAAGCGCACUCGGGCUAGAGUAGUACUGGGAUGGUGACUUCCUGGGAAUUCCUAGUAUUUUACAUGCC